GUGCUCACUUAGGCAGUACAUAUACUAAAAUUGGGGUGAUUCAGAGAGUAGCAUGGCCCCUGUGCAAGGGUGACACUCAAAUUCGUGGAGUUCCAUAUUAAA